rnacentral:rRNA from 1 species
GAUGAACGCUGGCGGCGUGCCUAAUACAUGCAAGUCGAGCGAACAGACGAGGAGCUUGCUCCUUUGACGUUAGCGGCGGACGGGUGAGUAACACGUGGAUAACCUACCUAUAAGACUGGGAUAACUUCGGGAAACCGGAGCUAAUACCGGAUAAUAUAUUGAACCGCAUGGUGCAAUAGUGAAAGACGGCUUUGCUGGCACUUAUCGAUGGAUCCGCGCCGCAUUAGCUAGUUGGUAAGGUAACGGCUUACCAAGGCGACGAUGCGUAGCCGACCUGAGAGGCUGAUCGCCCACCCUGGAGCUUGGACGCGGUCCAGACUCCUACGGGAGGCAGCAGUAGGGAAUCUUCCGCAAUGGGCGAAAGCCUGACGGAGCGGCGCCGCGUGAGUGAUGACGGUCUUCGGUUCGUAAAGCUCUGUUAUUGGGGAAGAACAGAUGUCGACUUAGCUGUGCACGUCUUGACGGUACCUAAUCAGGAAGCCACGGCUAACUACGUG